GAUGAAGAACGCAGCGAAACGCGAUAAGUAAUGUGAAUUGCAGAAUCCAGUGAAUCAUCGAAUCUUUGAACGCACAUUGCGCCCGCCAGCAUUCUGGCGGGCAUGCCUGUUCGAGCGUCACUUCAACCCUCGACCUCCCCUUGGGGAGGUCGGCGUUGGGGACCGGCAGCACACCGCCGGCCCUGAAAUGGAGUGGCGGCCCGUCCGCGGCGACCUCUGCGCAGUAAUACAGCUCGCACCGGGACCCCGACGCGGCCACGCCGUAAAACACCCAACUUCUGAACGUUGACCUCGAAUCAGGUAGGACUACCCGCUGAACUUAAGCAUAUCAAUAAGCGGAGGA
rnacentral:misc_RNA from 1 species